rnacentral:rRNA from 1 species
AGUGAACGCUGGCGGUAGGCCUAACACAUGCAAGUCGAACGGCAGCACAGUAAGAGCUUGCUCUUACGGGUGGCGAGUGGCGGACGGGUGAGGAAUACAUCGGAAUCUACUUUUUCGUGGGGGAUAACGUAGGGAAACUUACGCUAAUACCGCAUACGACCUACGGGUGAAAGCAGGGGAUCUUCGGACCUUGCGCGAUUGAAUGAGCCGAUGUCGGAUUAGCUAGUUGGCGGGGUAAAGGCCCACCAAGGCGACGAUCCGUAGCUGGUCUGAGAGGAUGAUAAGCCACACGGGAACGGAGACACGGUCCAGACUCCUACGGGAGGCAGCAGUGGGGAAUAUUGGACAAUGGGCGCAAGCCUGAUCCAGCCAUACCGCGUGGGUGAAGAAGGCCUUCGGGUUGUAAAGCCCUUUUGUUGGGAAAGAAAAGCAGCAGGUUAAUACCCCGCUGUUCUGACGGUACCCAAAGAAUAAGCACCGGCUAACUUCGUG